UUAUAUAAUAUAUAAUAAAAAUAUAAUAUUUAUUAUAUAUUAUUAUAUAUAACAUAUUAUAUAUAUGUGUGUGAUACAAUAUAUUAUUUAUAUAGUUUAAUAAGAGAAAUUGAUAUUAUAAGUAUAUAAAUAUUUUUCUAAAAUUAAAAAUAGUAUUAAAUUUGUAUAUACUAGUUUAUAAUCAUAUAAAAACCGGAAAAAACCGAAACCGACCAACGGUUAACCGAACCGGAAAAAACCGUUUCAAACGGUUCGGUUACGGUUUCUACCUAAAAACCGAACCGAACCGAAAUACACGGUUCGGUAACGGUUUU
rnacentral:lncRNA from 1 species